UACGUAGGGGGCAAGCGUUGGUCCGGAUUUAUUGGGCGUAAAGAGCGUGUAGGCGGUCAGGUAGGUCCGUUGUGAAAACUCGAGGCUCAACCUCGAGACGCCGAUGGAAACCAUCUGACUAGAGUCCGGAAGAGGAGAGUGGAAUUCCGUGGUGUAGCGGUGAAAUGCGCAGAUAUCAGGAAGAACGCCCGUGGCUAAGGCGGCUCUCUAGUACGGUACUGACGCUGAGACG
rnacentral:rRNA from 1 species